GUUAGAGGAGUGUAGAGGGGAUCUUGACUGGCCAAAGGGAAUGGCUGCACCAUGGACAACUCAGUGCUGGCUGGCAGUGAGGAAGAGCUGCUGGGUCUGAACCUAGAAGACCUCUGAGGCUCAGGAUGACAGCUCUGCAGUAGGAAGGGCUUCUUUACAAUAGCUGGAGACCCUGCUGGGAAGAGAAGUGACCCACUGAGCUGCCUUAAGGAGUCUUCAGUGGCUGGUCAAGCUGUGAUCUCGGCUGCCCGGCCCUUGCACGUGAGAACUUCCCUGGAGAGAACAGAAGCACUUGUGGCACCUUGGAGACUGGCGCCACAGAGCUCCUCAGGUCACAAGAAGCUCAAAAGCUUGUCUCUUCCACCAUCAGAACUUGGUUCAGUAAAAGAGAUUACCUCACGCAUCUUCUGUGCCUCCUCCUGGGACCAACACAGCUACAACUCUCCUGAACUGGGCAAGUUAGAUUCUGUUACAGUGGCUGGAUUGGUGCAUAGAGGCUGAAAGAAAAUUGU